CAAAUCUCAAAGGGUUCACUUUUUUGUUUGUUUUUUAAAAAGCUGCCAGGCAGAGAAACGAGAAACCUUUGCAAGUGAGUGAGCACAGAAACAUGCUUAAGUGAAACUCAGUGGAGGACAUGAGUACACUUACAGACCAAAGACGCCUAUCCCUCCUGUGCUUGGGCAUGAAAUUUCCAGAAUCAGAAGAAAAGAAUCUCUUACAGCAUUUAGCAGAGGAGAACAUUGGUAUAUGGAAUGGCGAGUUUAUGUUUUUAAACAGUGCCUAGCAUAGUACCUGAUACAUGGU
rnacentral:lncRNA from 1 species